CCUCGCUCGUGUCUGUUCUGAGUCUCAAAUCAUGUCUCCGUUCUAAGUCUCGAAUCAUGUCUCCGUUCUAAGUCUCGACAACCUUCAAAUGCUUCUUCAAUAUUGUUUAUUCAUAGAUGUCGAAGAAGCACUCACAAAUCUCGUAUUCGAACGUUCAUCAGUUUAUCAAUAGGAUGAGUUGAAGAAGCAUAUGAUUGAGGUAGAAAGUUCACAAACCACUCAAGAUACUACCAAUUGGAAAAAUGAUAUAUACUCAAAAGUUAAAGGACCUGAAAAAAGAGGACGAGUGCGUUGUCUUGGAAAGCUUCCACGACAUGCAAGUUCAUACCAAAGCUCUACCAUAGACAAUAGAAUUCAAAAAUUAGAGAAUUUGCUUGGAAAUCUUGUUGCUGUCCUUCAAUCACGGUUUGUAGAUGAUCCACAGAUUAAUCAAGUUUUACAAGCUGUAGCUGAAGAGGUACCUAUAAAUGUUUCAAAUGAUUCUAUCAGUGAAAAUCAUCCAGCAUGUGAGUGAUGAUGAGGCAGGGCUUAUAUAUAGUCAAAAUUGUCUUGACGAAAUGCAUAUAGAAUCCUAUACGAGCCAAGACAAUUCACAAGGCAACGCAUUUGCAUGAUUCCAUGAGAAUUACCAAAGAGAUAACCACCAGGCCAAGACAAAAACUUGAAAAAAAGGAAAUAUGAUAGGAAGGAACCAUGGUAGAAACAGCAGAAGAAUACUCACUGAUUCGUGCGUUAAAAAGUACUCUUUUUUUUUUCCAGAUCAUAAUUUUCUCUCUUCAUGUCAUGUAAUUAAGACUAGUAUAAUAGACGUAAGGAAAACAGUAUUGA